GAAGUUUUUAUCCAAAAAAACAAGAACUGUAAUGGAAUCACUACCAAUUCAUAGCCUCCCUCCAUCCAUGGAGUGCAAACGAGGCAAAUUCUAAUAACUAUUUACGACACCCAAGUCGCACCAAAAUUCUUUCUUUAAUUCUAAACAAGAGACAAGAAGAAGGAAGUUUCAUGAGAGAGAGAAACGGCUUUCCUUAUUUUCUUGACACAAACUUGACAGUUGCUGCUACUACAAAAUAUAACCCCCCCUCUCUCUCUCUCUCUCUAUAAAUAAGCGUCGGGCUUUUCUUUUCAUUUCAUUUCAUUUCAGUUUCUUAAGCAACAACAAGAAUCAGAAGAAGAAGCAGAGAGCGAUCGAUCGAUCGUGAGAGAGAGGGAGAGUUUUAGAGUAUGAGUAGCGAUAAGGCUCCCAUUGCUGCUGCUUCUGCUGCUGCAGCUACCAAUGCGUUGAGUGGUAGUAGCGGCAGUGGCGGUGUUGCUGCUGCUAAUGCCAAUGCGAAGCUUCUUCAUCCUGGCGCUGAAUUCAGCAAGGGCAUCAAUGGCCUCGACAAGGUCGUCCUCCGUGAUCCGCGUGGCAGUGUCGCCGAGGUGUAUUUGUAUGGGGGUCAUGUAACAUCAUGGAAGAAUGAUCAUGGAGAGGAAUUGCUAUUUGUUAGCAGUAAGGCUAUAUUUAAGCCUCCCAAGGCUAUUCGUGGGGGAAUCCCAAUAUGCUUUCCUCAGUUUUCAAAUCUUGGUUCUCUUGAUGCGCAUGGAUUUGCUAGAAACAGAUUUUGGAGCAUUGACCCUGAUCCAUCUCCUUUUCCAACAAAUACCUCCAAUAAGGUUGCUGUUGAUUUGAUCCUUAGGCCUAGUGAAGAAGACAUGAAGACCUGGCCUCACAGUUAUGAGUACCGACUACGGGUAGCUUUGGGACCUGGAGGAGAUCUGACGUUGAUAUCUCGCAUCAGGAAUACUAACUCUGAUGGAAAGCCAUUCUCGUUCACAUUUGCAUAUCACACUUAUUUCUCUGUUUCAGAUAUCAGUGAAGUUCGUGUAGAAGGAUUGGAGACCUUGGAUUAUCUUGACAACUUGCAGAACAGAAAACGUUGCACUGAACAAGGUGAUGCUAUAACAUUUGAAUCAGAGGUUGACAAAAUAUAUCUCAGCACUCCUACAAAGAUUGCAAUUUUGGAUCAUGAGAAGAAGAGAACAUUCGUAAUACGCAAAGAUGGUCUUCCAGAUGCUGUGGUGUGGAAUCCCUGGGAUAAGAAGUCGAAGGCUAUGGCUGAUUUUGGAGAUGAUGAGUACAAGCAUAUGCUGUGUGUGGAGGCUGCUGCUAUUGAGAAACCUAUCACACUGAAACCUGGAGAGGAGUGGAGAGGAAGGCAGGAGCUUUCAGCUGUUCCUUCCAGUUACUGUAGUGGGCAACUUGAUCCUCGAAAGGUUCUCCAAGGCAGCUGAAAGUUCCAUCAUUCUGGCCUAUAUUUUGUACAGGUUAUGGUUACGGAGUGGAGUAUAUUGGUGGUGGAUAGUUUGGAGGAAAAUUAGGUAUUUUGUUGCAAAUGUACAUGGGUCGGGACAAGAAAUUCUGCCCACUAUUUUGGCUCCGAAAUUUUUCUUGUGUUGGGUGAAAUGAUGGAUUCAUGAGUACAUAGGACUUGAGAUAAUAUGUUUUUGUUUAGUGGAUGACAUUUUCUAUUAAGACUGGAACAAACCUGAGUACAACGAUCACACUUGCUAUGGUGGAUGAGAGAUUACAUGUUUCUAUUAAAUGAAAUCUCUUA